rnacentral:lncRNA from 1 species
AGAACGGAAGGCGACGAAAGGCCUGCUGAAUAAUAGUCGGUUCCUGGGCAGAAGUGACGUUUCCCGGGUAUCGGUUUUCAAUCCUUAAAAAUCUUCGUGAAAUAUGAACCAUCCUAUCCCAAAACUAUUGUCCCGUGUAUGGUAGAGUAUUUGUGAUACUUCAGGGCAGUCAUGGCCGAAAGCAGCGACGAACAAAGGGGAAAAUCGAGGAUUUCGACGAUGUUGACGUUCUUAAUAAUAUGUCAUUCUGUGAAAUGGAAAUAUGUAUGUAUUUUACCUGAUUAAAUAUCAUGUAGAUCAUUGACGCGUUUUAUAAUGCAAUUCAUAACAAGCAGUCGUAACACAAUGAUAUCGAUCGCUAUGAACAGGACACGCUUGAAUAACGCCAUAUGUUGACAAUUAAUAUGUUGUGCUCAUCGUUCGACGGCAGCGAUGUGGAUACUCUCAAUAUAUCGUUUUCUGAAAUGGACUUGGUAUGUAGAGUUUUGUGGUAAUGGAGAUUCUACAUGCAGACAUUGUGUUAUUAUACUCAAAAGACAAAGAACAAGCGAACAAUGAGACGCUAUAUUACUUCUAUUUACAUUGUAAAUGUAUAUUUUUAAUAUGCAAAUAUAAUUUCACCAUAUUUAUCUUUCAAAUUGUGCUUUUAAUGUUUCAUGC